CCAGUAGUCAUAUGCUUGUCUCAGAGAUAAGCCAUGCAUGUCUAAGUAUAAGCAAUCAUACUGUGAAACUGCGAAUGGCUCAUUAAAUCAGUUAUCGUUUAUUUGAUAGUACCUUUACCUGGAUAACCGUGGUAAUUCUAGAGCUAAUACAUGCUAAAAACCUCGACUUCGGAAGGGGUGUAUUUAUUAGAUAAAAAACCAAUGCCCUUCGGGGCUCCUUGGUGAUUCAUAAUAACUUAACGAAUCGCAUGGCCUUGCGCCGGCGAUGGUUCAUUCAAAUUUCUGCCCUAUCAACUUUCGAUGGUAAGAUAGUGGCUUACCAUGGUCUCAACGGGUAACGGGGAAUUAGGGUUCUAUUCCGGAGAGGGAGCCUGAGAAACGGCUACCACAUCCAAGGAAGGCAGCAGGCGCGCAAAUUACCCAAUCCCAAUUCGGGGAGGUAGUGACAAUAAAUACUGAUACGGGGCUCUUUCGGGUCUCGUAAUUGGAAUGAGUACAAUCUAAAUCCCUUAACGAGGAACAAUUGGAGGGCAAGUCUGGUGCCAGCAGCCGCGGUAAUUCCAGCUCCAAUAGCGUAUAUUAAAGCUGUUGCCGUUAAAAAGCUCGUAGUUGAACCUUGGACCUGGCUGAUCUGUCCUCCUAAUCGAGCGCACGGAUUCGGUCGGGUCUUUCCUUCUGGGGAGCCCUAUGCCCUUCACUGGGUGUAGUGGGGAACCAGGACUUUUACCUUGAAAAAAUUAGAGUGUUCAAAGCAGGCCUUUGCUCGAAUACAUUAGCAUGGAAUAAUAGAAUAGGACAUCGGUUCUAUUUUGUUGGUUUCUAGGACCGCUGUAAUGAUUAAUAGGGAUAGUCGGGGGCGUCAGUAUUCAAUUGUCAGAGGUGAAAUUCUUGGAUUUAUUUGAAGACUAACUACUGCGAAAGCAUUCGCCAAGGAUGUUUUCAUUAAUCAGUGAACGAAGGUUAAGGGAUCGAAGACAAUCAGAUACCGUCGUAGUCUUAACAAUAAACUAUGCCGACUAGGGAUCGGACGGUGGUUUUUUUUAUGCCCCGUUCGGAACCUACCGAGAAUCAGAGUUAUUGGCCUCGGGGGUGAAGUAUG
rnacentral:rRNA from 1 species